rnacentral:lncRNA from 1 species
CAAAGAGUUUGAAGUUGUUUGUGUUUUAUUUGCAUAAAGAAUUUGAUUAUCUUUAUCGAUUCUGUUUUUAGAUAUCCUCAGCCUUUCAAAGUACAUACAUGUGGAGAGAUGAGAGUCUGGACAGAGGCAUAAGGCACAGCUGGAAGCAGAAUUAUCUGGAAAAGUUCUGCUGGUAAGAUCUGUCUACGGCUAUGUUUCAAUAGAAGGUUGUAGAAUCCUGAGUGUUCUCAUUGGCACGAAAACAACAAAGCCACGCUUCUUUGACAAGGGAUCUCCUUUUCCUGUGGUCCUCCCCUUUCUGUGGAUGACCAUUUCUGCAUGGGUAGCUCCUUAAAAGUGAGUUUUAGUUCCCCUCUUCCAGAUACCUAAGUCCUACCCUCCAACUCAGUAGACUGAAAA